CUCUGACUGUACUGACGCUGAGCUCGAAAGUGUGGGUAGCAAACAGGAUUAGAUACCUGGUAGUCCACACGUAAACGAUGAAUGCUAGUUGUUAGAGGGUUCCGCCCUUUAGUGACGCAGCUAACGCAUUAAGCAUUCCGCUGGGGAGUACGACCGCAAGGUUGAAACUCAAAGGAAUUGACGGGGGCCCGCACAGCGGUGGAGCAUGUGGUUUAAUUCGAAGCAACGCGAAGAACCUUACCAGGUCUUGACAUCUUUCGCUAUCUUAAGAGAUUAAGAGUUCCCUUCGGGGACGGAAUGACAGGUGGUGCAUGGUUGUCGUCAGCUCGUGUCGUGAGAUGUUGGGUUAAGUCCCGCAACGAGCGCAACCCUUAUCAUUAGUUGCCAGCAUUAAGUUGGGCACUCUAAUGAGACUGCCGGUGAUAAACCGGAGGAAGGUGGGGAUGACGUCAAAUCAUCAUGCCCCUUAUGACCUGGGCUACACACGUGCUACAAUGGAUGGUACAACGAGUUGCGAACCCGCGAGGGCAAGCUAAUCUCUUAAAGCCAUUCUCAGUUCGGAUUGUAGUCUGCAACUCGACUACAUGAAGUCGGAAUCGCUAGUAAUCGCGGAUCAGCACGCCGCGGUGAAUACGUUCCCGGGCCUUGUACACACCGCCCGUCACACCAUGAGAGUUUGUAACACCCAAAGUCGGUGGGGUAACCUUCGGGAGCCAGCCGCCUAAGGUGGGAUAGAUGAUUAGGGUGAAGUCGUAACAAGGUAACCA
rnacentral:rRNA from 1 species